AUUGAACGCUGGCGGCAUGCCUUACACAUGCAAGUCGAACGGUAACAGGUUAAGCUGACGAGUGGCGAACGGGUGAGUAAUAUAUCGGAACGUGCCCAGUCGUGGGGGAUAACUGCUCGAAAGAGCAGCUAAUACCGCAUACGACCUGAGGGUGAGAGCGGGGGAUCGCAAGACCUCGCGCGAUUGGAGCGGCCGAUAUCAGAUUAGGUAGUUGGUGGGGUAAAGGCCCACCAAGCCAACGAUCUGUAGCUGGUCUGAGAGGACGACCAGCCACACUGGGACUGAGACACGGCCCAGACUCCUACGGGAGGCAGCAGUGGGGAAUUUUGGACAAUGGGCGCAAGCCUGAUCCAGCCAUGCCGCGUGCGGGAAGAAGGCCUUCGGGUUGUAAACCGCUUUUGUCAGGGAAGAAAAGGUUCUGGUUAAUACCUGGAACUCAUGACGGUACCUGAAGAAUAAGCACCGGCUAACUACGUGCCAGCAGCCGCAGUAA
rnacentral:rRNA from 1 species